UAUUGCACAAUGGGCGGAAGCCUGAUGCAGCGACGCCGCGUGAGGGAUGGCGGCCUUCGGGUUGUAAACCUCUCUCGGCAGGGACGAAGCGAGAGUGACGGUACCUGCAGAAGAAGCACCGGCCAACUACGUGCCAGCAGCCGCGGUAAGACGGAGGGUGCGAGCGUUGUCCGGAAUUAUUGGGCGUAAAGAGCUCAUAGGCGGCUUGUCGCGUCGACUGUGAAAACCCGCGGCUCAACCGCGGGCCUGCAGUCGAUACGGGCAGGCUAGAGUUCGGUAGGGGAGACUGGAAUUCCUGGUGUAGCGGUGAAAUGCGCAGAUAUCAGGAGGAACACCGAUGGCGAAGGCAGGUCUCUGGGCCGAUACUGACGCUGAGGAGCGAAAGCGUGGGGAGCGAAC
rnacentral:rRNA from 1 species